rnacentral:tRNA from 1 species
AAGGAUUUAAGUUAAAUAAACUUUUAACCUUCAAAGUUAAAUAUAGACAUUGUCUAAGCCUUAA